rnacentral:rRNA from 1 species
AUGGGUGAUUUCAACCAAAUUUACAAGGCUCGAGAUAAAAACAAGCGCAAUGUAAACCUGAGCCGCAUAAACCGCUUCCGGGCAGCCCUAAACCUCUGCGAGCUUAGGGAGAUCCAUCUCCAGAACAGGCGCUUCACUUGGAGCAAUGAACGACAAAAUCCGACCCUAUGCAAGCUGGACUCCAUUUUCUGCAAUGACGAAUGGGACAUUCACUUUGGCUCUCAUAUCCUACACGCCUUGUCAUCAUCUCUCUCAGACCACUGCCCACUUCUCCUUGCGGAGGACAGUGGGCCUCGGCGGCCGCGCACGUUCAAAUUUGAAAAUUUCUGGACGUCCAUCCCAGGUUUCCAAGAUGUGGUGAAAGAGGCUUGGCAUCAUCAUUCCGGGCACUUCGAGCCAUGCCAGAACCUUUUCCACAAGCUUAAGAGGACUGGGGCUUGCUUGUCCAAAUGGAGCAGGACACUUUUCUCCCAAGCUAAGAUCCACUUUCGCGCAGCACUCAUGGUCAUCCUCAGACUAGAUGUGGCCCAGGAGACAAGAGAAUUGUCGGCCGGAGAGAUUGAGCUUCGGGCUAGGCUCAAGAGGAGAGUUAUCGGUCUCGCAGUGAUCGAGCGCUCAAGGAAAAAGCAGUGCUCCAGAAUAAGGAAUUUAAAAGAAGGGGACGCCAAUACUAAGUUUUUCCACCUGAGGGUGAAGAGAAGGAAAAAUCACAUCCACCGUCUCAAGCACAACAAUGGCUGGAUCACUGGGCAUUUUCAGAAAGAGGAGAUCAUUUUUGAGCACUUCUCUAGUGCUUUGGGCAGGGAUGGCAGGCAAGAGAAGGACUUCAACUGGGAUAACUUCAACUUUCCCGAAGUGGACUUGCACGAGCUU